UGGGGAAUAUUGGACAAUGGGCGCAAGCCUGAUCCAGCCAUGCCGCGUGAGUGAUGAAGGCCCUAGGGUUGUAAAGCUCUUUCACCGGUGAAGAUAAUGACGGUAACCGGAGAAGAAGCCCCGGCUAACUUCGUGCCAGCAGCCGCGGUAAUACGAAGGGGGCUAGCGUUGUUCGGAUUUACUGGGCGUAAAGCGCACGUAGGCGGACUAUUAAGUCAGGGGUGAAAUCCCGGGGCUCAACCCCGGAACUGCCUUUGAUACUGGUAGUCUUGAGUUCGAGAGAGGUGAGUGGAAUUCCGGGUGUAGAGGUGAAAUUCGUAGAUAUUCGGAGAAACACCAGUGGCGAAGGCGGCUCACUGGCUCGAUACUGACGCUGAGGUGCGAAAGCGUGGGGAGCAAACAGG
rnacentral:rRNA from 1 species